rnacentral:rRNA from 1 species
UACGGGGGGGGCAAGCGUUGUUCGGAAUUACUGGGCGUAAAGGGCUCGUAGGCGGCCAACUAAGUCGGAUGUGAAAUCCCCAGGCUUAACCUGGGAACUGCAUCCGAUACUGGAUGGCUUGAAUUCGGGAGAGGGAUGCAGAAUUCCAGGUGUAGCGGUGAAAUGCGUAGAUAUCGGAAGGAACAUCAGUGGCGAAAGCGGCUUCCUGGACCAGUACCGACGUUCAGGCACGAAAGCGUGGGGAGCAAACAGG